AGUGAACGCUGGCGGUAGGCCUAACACAUGCAAGUCGAACGGCAGCACAGGAGAGCUUGCUCUCUGGGUGGCGAGUGGCGGACGGGUGAGGAAUACAUCGGAAUCUACUUUUUCGUGGGGGAUAACGUAGGGAAACUUACGCUAAUACCGCAUACGACCUACGGGUGAAAGCAGGGGACCUUCGGGCCUUGCGCGAUUGAAUGAGCCGAUGUCGGAUUAGCUAGUUGGCGGGGUAAAGGCCCACCAAGGCGACGAUCCGUAGCUGGUCUGAGAGGAGGAUCAGCCACACUGGAACUGAGACACGGUCCAGACUCCUACGGGAGGCAGCAGUGGGGAAUGUUGGACAAUGGGCGCAAGCCUGAUCCAGCCAUACCGCGUGGGUGAAGAAGGCCUUCGGGUUGUAAAGCCCUUUUGUUGGGAAAGAAAUCCAGCUGGCUAAUACCCGGUUGGGAUGACGGUACCCAAAGAAUAAGCACCGGCUAACUUCGUGCCAGCCGCCGCCGUAC
rnacentral:rRNA from 1 species